UGAUGCUUUGCGACAGCUACUAUGUGCUACUAUUAAAAUGAUUUCAACAGCGUUGCUAUCUCAUUGUGAGGUCAUUGACAGAGGAUCCUUCUGCUUGCCUAUUUCAAUUUGCAUCGCUUUCGUAACGGGCAAGCCGAUACAAUCUACUUCGAGCGGCAGUGCAAUCUGCUCAGUGAGGCUAUGUGAUCAACGUCUCAGUCCGAAGACAUUGAUUUACAUUCAAUCUUAGUCGGAAGCUACGCAAUUUGUAUUUUCGACAUUGAAUUUGAAUGUUCACUGCAGUAGAACUGGUCCGGGAUCGCCUUCUUGGAUGUCCAACAAGGUACAGCAGUGGAAUUCUUCACAAUGACCUCGACUGUUCACAACAGUGGAAAUGAUGCCGGAGUGCAUUGUUCACUGUCAACGGCAAUUGAAUGAGUGUUGAAAUGCAAACUUGCAGUAGGAAACUGAAGCGUGUAAGUUACCUGCAUCAAGGGUCCACAUAGCACAUGCCACCAGCUGCAGUUUGUGCAUGAGGAGUUGAAGCACAUCACCAAGGGCACAGUACAAAAUGUAAACAGAGUGCAGUGUGCAUUUUACUAUGUGGGUUCAUUCUCUUAAUUCCAGAGCAGAGAUAAAAGUAAAUUAUAGGACUACACACAUCUUUAGGGAACCUUUGGAUGCAGCUGGGAGCUGGGGGAUAACUCUGCUACUGUCCAAGGCUGCAGACAAGUUUGCUGUGGCUUGCAGUUAGAGAGAAGGAAUGAAUUCACAUUCAUAUUUUAAGUAUCUACAGUAUACUUUGAAACAUCAUGUGCUUGCCUUUUGUCUCACAUGCAAGGACAUCCAUCCAAUGCACAAGAAUUGUAAAAGAUCCCUUAUCUUUUGCCCUCCAAAAUAGUAUCCAUAGUGUGAUUUGUUCACUUGCAUAUUACUUUUAGUAUGCUAAAGAUGCUAUCUUUUGAUCAACAAAGAGCAUGUUAUCUAAAUGUUGGAUCAGUUCUUGCAUUAAAUAAGUUAUGGUUUGAGAUUGUUUAGUU